UAUUGAUGGAGAGGCACCCAUCUAUAGUUUGGACUCCAUGUGCCUCCCAUUGCAUUGACCUCAUGUUGGAGGAUAUUGGAAAGCUCCCAUGGGUCAAGAGAUGUGUAGAAAGGGUGAGAAAUGUGUGCAAAUUUGUAUAUAAACAUUCAUGGGUGUUGGCUCCUAUGAGACAAUGCACAAAGCAGGAGUUAGCUCCUCCAGGAAUCACAAGAUUUGCCACAAACUUCAUCACAUUGCAGUCCAUGCUUCGUUGUAAGUCGGCCUUGAGACGUAUGAUUGUUGAUAAGUAGUGGUCUUCCUCAUCCUAUGCUGCCACCCCUGCAAGGAAAGAUAUGGCAGACUGCAUUUUUGAUGAGCGAGACUUUUGGAUCCCUUGUGAUGAGACAGUGAAGUUUGUUAAGCCCUUGGUGGUUUUGUUGUGAGUUGCGGAUGGAGAAAAGCCCGCAAUGGGCUAUAUAUAUGAGGGGAUGGAUAGAGUGAAGGAGGGCAUCAAAUCCGUCUAUGGAGGAGAUGAGAGAAAGUAUGGUCCCAUUUGGGAGAUCAUUGAUAGGAGAUGACAUCAUCAGCUUCAUAGGCCCAUCCAUGCAGCAACCUAUUAUCUGAAUCCGACAUUCCAGUUUAGCCUACUUUCAAGGCUGAUGUGGAGGUCCUUAAUGGGCUAUACUCAAUCAUAGAGAAGAUGGCACCUGUUGGUUCUACUUAGACAGAGCUUAUUCGAGAGCUAUAGUUGUUCUCAAAUGCACAAGGGGAGACCUUCUCUCGUCCUAUCGCCAAAGAAAGUAGGACAACUAUGAUGCCAGAUAAUUGGUGGAGCUUUUUUGGCCCAAUGACACCAAAUCUUCAGAAGUUGGCCAUUGGCAUCUUGAGCCAACCAUGCAAUGCAUUUGGUUGUGAGCACAAUUGGAGUAUGUUUGAGCACAUACACUCCAAGAGGCUCAAUAGAUCAUUCGUGGAGAAGAUGAAUGAUCUCGUCUUUGUUCGCUACAACCUCCGCUUGAGAAUGAGAAAGAAUGCAUUAACUGACAUCUCUCCUAUCAUUCUAGAUGAGAUUGAUCCCGAUGCAGAGUGGGCCACUGAGACAGAUCCUGUGGCUGUCUUUAGUGAUGAUGACACUGAUUGGAUCGACUAGGUAGAUAUAGAGGCUGAGGCUGUAGCCAUGGCAGAGGAGGAGCAGAGAGCAUGAGCAGAGAUAGGAGAUUCAAAGACAGAUAGCGACACAGAUGUUCCUGAUGUUGGUGAGCAUGGCAUGGUGUCAGGGGGAGCGGCUAUUGCUGCUGAAUCAUCCAGGACCUACCUUAGAUGCCUUUGCAGGGGGCUAGGGCCAGAGGAUGCACGCUGCUCUGAGCCAUAGGCUUGUAGUUGUAUUUAGCUUUGGUAUUUGUAUGGAACAUUUUAUGAUGAUCAUAU